UAGAAGCACUAGUGACAGAUUUUAACCAAAAAUGAAAGUAGAGUAAGCACUGGCACUGGUUUCCUUCUGCAGAAACCUUACCAAAAAAAACCCACUUCAGUUACCAUUCUAUCUCUGAGCUCCACCAGGGAAAAAGAAGAGAACCCAGAGUUGCCUGAAGAAGGGAAAGGUAGAAAAUGGGUAGUAGAUUAGGAAGACGAGUUGUAAACUUGGCGAGCCUUGCAAUCAAGCUAUUGAUGCCAAACACUUUGGCCAACAUCAAAGAAAUAGCUCUCAAAACCAUCCCAUCGGCAUCCAAGAUAGAGAUUAAACGCCUCCUCCAGUCCCUCUACGGUAUCGAUGUCGGCAAAGUCCCUACUCUCAACAUGGUAGUUUAGUUUCGCUAAAGAAGGGUUCGAGUAAAGAAGGAGAACAAGAAAAAGAAAGGGUCCUAAAUCCUAAUGAUUAUGCACGUCACUCGGAUGCCACACAAGAUCUUUUUUAUGUUUGCAGGUUACCUUGUGAACAUUAAAGAUGACAUCCUGAACUUGGAUUGCUAAAUCUGUAGGGAUUUGAGUUGUGGCAAACCUGCAUUCGCUCAAAAAAGAAACGAACCGCAUGAGCUGGAGAUAAUAUACUCUGUAUGCAUCUAAACGUUUUUAUUGAUUACACAGCAAUUAUUAGUUGGAAAUUAUAGUGUUCUGGAAUGAAGUUUUAAGAGCUUGAAUAGCAAGGAAUACAUGUUUUUUUUACCAUGAGAGUUCUUUCCUUUCAAAGCUAUCAGCUGCCAGGAUGAGCUUAUUUGGAACGACGAUGCUUUGGUCAUAGGGUUGAUGAUCGGUGCCAUCGGCGUCACUUCCAACAGGACUUUGAGAGUGAGGCAUUUGAAGAGAUUUCAUGGUAAUGUGCUCUUCCUGCAAUAGUAAUAUUUGGCUUGUUGAGUAACUUGGUACUGUAUAAAUGGGUGAAGAACAUAUGAAACAAAAGUAGGGUGCAGUUUGAGUAAAUGUGAGGAGCAAGUAUGUGGCUAGAAGGGACAUAUAAGAUCAAUUUGGUUGGUGGUGGGCUCUGCUCAUUUCACUGGUUUUUUUAAAAAUAAGUAUAGAAACUGUUGUAAGGAAAAAGAUGGAGAUUGAUCAAGGUUUGAUGUAUUAUAAUUGAAGGGAAUGUUAUGAUUUGUCAAUUUUUGAACCACAUUUAUGCUUUGGGUCGUAUUAUUAAACUGUGAUUGUGUGGCUGACUGGACACAGACACACUGUUGUCCCACAUUUAUUAUACUAGUUUCAGUCCAUAUCCUCCAUCAUGCAACGAUAUCGGUGAAUGUACUGUUUUAGGGUUGAUAUUAAUAUGUUAUAUUGAAUUUAUCGAUGUUUUUAAAUGUUUUUACAUAUAUAUAAAUGAUUAUUAUAUA